AUUUUUUUUGUUUUGUUUUGUUCUGCACUGCCUUUCACCAUCUGGAUUCUAAUGACAGUUAAGUAACAAAUAGCCAUAACAACUUUUGCUGCUGUGCCGUAAACAAUUCUCUUUGCAUUAAUUAACAAUUCAAGCAGAAUGAAAAGUUUCCAAAUCGUCAAUGUAUGAAAGGGUUCAAGUUUCGGAAUGUUGUUGCUUGCCGGCAAAAAGGCAAAUAACUUUUUCCAUCUCACAAUUCAAAUGAAGUGGAAAUUAACUGGGGGAAAAUAUCAAAUGUUCAAGGACUUUUUCGUUCAUGGAAAUUGUGAUCGAUGUGCUUGGAGAGGUAAUAUGGUAUAGCCUGCUCGGAAAAGUAACCGAAUUGCAACUGAAACCUCAGCUGUUGGAAUGAAGUCAACAGAGAGCGGUUUGAGCUGUAACGCUGUUGCAUGGCAAGACGAUAUAUUGUGAAAUAAUAUGUUUUUGAUUAGUGGUGAUGCCAGCCAAACGGAAAACAUGUUCAAAAGGGAAAAAAUUGUAUUAUUCAUGCAUGCAUUGGGAGAAGUUGCAGCAGAGUGCCAAACAACCACAGAAUACCACAACACCCGAUGGGAGGGGGAGAGAAAGCAAGAGCAAAAUUGUAACUACAAUAACAAAUGAAACUAAACGAAAAACGGUAGAGUGCCAACUACACCAGGAGAAUGCCAUAAAGUGCAUCAUGGCACAAAACUGCAACAAUGAUUUAUGAAUGCACAGCGAAAAAAGAAAAUCCCACUGUAAAGGGAGCAGCAUGAGCAGUGGCAGCAUCAGCAGGAGCAACCUUUGUUGUAGCAAACCAAAUGAAAGUGUUCGUUGUAAUAGGUAUUCUCUGGCAAUCCGCAUGAUUGCACUUCAUUCUUAUUUCAUAUAACUGCUUUUUUUUAUAAAGAAGAAGAGAGAGUAAAAGUGGGGCAGAGUCAGUAGUUGAAUACCCUA